rnacentral:rRNA from 1 species
AUGGACGAUAUCUUGGUGUUUAGCAAGACACUUCAAGAACACAUUGCAAAGCUGAGGUCCGUUCUACAGCUCCUGCGCGAUAACCACCUGGUGCUUAAGUAGUCCAAGUGUGAAUUUGCCAAGCCUCAAAUUGAAUAUCUUGGUCAUGUAAUUACUGUAGCAGGGGUGUCCACCAAUCAAACAAAGGUAGCCACUGUCAAGCAGUGGCCUGUGCCAACCACAGUACGCGCAUUGCGGGGAUUCUUGGGCCUUACCGGCUAUUAUCGAAGAUUUAUUCAGCACUACGGGGUAAUCAGCAGGCCUCUGGCCGAUUUACUCAAAAACAGAGUUACCUUUCAAUGGACUCCGGUCACUGACAGGGCAUUCCAACUGCUUAAAACAGCCAUGAUUCAAGCACCAGUUUUGGAUGUCCCUGAUUUCAAUCAAACCUUUGUCUUGGAAACAGAUGCCUGCAAGGAUGGGGUGGGUGCAGUCCUAAUGCAACAAGGGCAUCCCAUAGCUUACCUCAGCAAAGCUCUCUCUCACAAGAACAAGGCUCUCAGCACUUAUGAGAAGGAAUGUCUCGCAAUCUUGAUGGCAGUAGACAAGUGGAGACCCUACUUACAACAUUAA